AGCUCGUGUCGUGAGAUGUUGGGUUAAGUCCCGCAACGAGCGCAACCCUUGUCUUUAAUUGCCAUCAUUCAGUUGGGCACUUUAAAGAGACUGCCGGUGUUAAACCGGAGGAAGGUGGGAUGACGUCAAGUCCUCAUGGCCUUUAUGCCCAGGGCUACACACGUGCUACAAUGGGUGGUACAAAAGAGAUGCAAUCUCGCAAGAGCAAGCAAACCUCAAAAAAGCCAUCCUCAGUUCGGAUUGGAGUCUGCAACUCGACUCCAUGAAGUCGGAAUCGCUAGUAAUCGCGGAUCAGCACGCCGCGGUGAAUACGUUCCCGGGCCUU
rnacentral:rRNA from 1 species